CCUACGGGCGGCUGCAGUGGGGAAUAUUGGACAAUGGGGGCAACCCUGAUCCAGCCAUGCCGCGUGUGUGAAGAAGGCCCUCGGGUUGUAAAGCACUUUCAGUGAGGAAGAACGCCUGGUGGUUAAUACCCAUCAGGAAAGACAUCACUCACAGAAGAAGCACCGGCUAACUCCGUGCCAGCAGCCGCGGUAAUACGGAGGGUGCGAGCGUUAAUCGGAAUUACUGGGCGUAAAGCGCGCGUAGGUGGCUUGAUAAGCCGGUUGUGAAAGCCCCGGGCUCAACCUGGGAACGGCAUCCGGAACUGUCAAGCUAGAGUGCAGGAGAGGAAGGUAGAAUUCCCGGUGUAGCGGUGAAAUGCGUAGAGAUCGGGAGGAAUACCAGUGGCGAAGGCAGCCUUCUGGACUGACACUGACACUGAGGUGCGAAAGCGUGGGUAGCAAACAGGAUUAGAUACCCUUGUAGUC
rnacentral:rRNA from 1 species